rnacentral:rRNA from 1 species
CUACGGGCUGCUCCAGUGAGGAAUAUUGCACAAUGGGGGGAACCCUGAUGCAGCAACGCCGCGUGGAGGAUGACGCAUUUCGGUGUGUAAACUCCUUUUAUAUGUCAAGAAAAUGACGGUAGCAUAUGAAUAAGCACCGGCUAACUCCGUGCCAGCAGCCGCGGUAAUACGGAGGGUGCAAGCGUUACUCGGAAUCACUGGGCGUAAAGGACGCGUAGGCGGGUUGGAAAGCCAGGUGUGAAAUCCUAUAGCUUAACUGUAGAACUGCACUUGAAACUUCUAAUCUAGAGUAUGGGAGGGGGAGAUGGAAUUAGUGGUGUAGGGGUAAAAUCCGUAGAUAUCACUAGGAAUACCUAAAGCGAAGGCGAUCUCCUGGAACAUUACUGACGCUAAGGCGUGAAAGCGUGGGGAGCAAACAGGAUUAGAUACCCCGGUAGUC